rnacentral:ncRNA from 1 species
CCAGCUGCUGCGGGGGGCGACGUGUUGAUCUGAGAAAUACCGGCGAACUUGAUCUGGAUAAUACCAGCGAAAGGACCUGCAUCUGAUAUUCCC